rnacentral:lncRNA from 1 species
UCUCUUCUCAAGCCACUUACAAAUCUUUGACUCCUCAUUUUCGUGCAUGUCAAUUUUAGUCAAAGUAGUUUCAAGAUAUUUGAAGUACUCAUCUACACUUCUAGGUCCUUGUUGAAGUCGUUAGAGCUUCAACAAGAGUUCCUUCCUAUACUGAGGAUGAACAAAUCUCGUGCACAUACAUUCUUUCAAAUCAUACCAAGAGACCACGGUUGGCCUCUUGUUUAGCCCAAUGUCCAUUACAAUUUGGUGCCACCAUUACAUGGCAUAGUCUAAAAAUUCUAGGGAGGAUAGCUUUACCUUUUGGUCCUCUUGGAUCUCAUAUACAUUGAAAAUUUUCUCAACCUUAGCCUCCCAUCCUAAGUAAAUAUUUGGGUCACUUUCUCCACUAAAGCUAGUUAAUUUUACAUAGGGAAAAGAAAUUUUAGAAGGAUGGUGUUGGUGGCGCCUUUCAUCAUAUUGGUGAAUUCUCCAAUCUUCAUCUUCUUCAUGGUUGUCGUAAUGGUUAUAGCUCCUUGAGCUCUUUUUUUCUCCCACCUCCUUCCUCUUGGUUGUCUUUCAUGUGUCGUUUCAAGUCUUUGAAGUCUCUCCUCCAAUUGCCGCAUUUCUUCCUCUUUUUGGGCUAAGGAUCUCUAUGUUGUUGCAAGCUCACCCAUAAGAAAAACCUUUUGGGGAGAUUGAGGUUUGGAUGAUUCCCCUGAAGAAAGAAGAGCCUUAAAAAUUGCACAAGGAGAACAAACAAUUAGUGAAAGAAAAGUUAAUAACCCUCUCCUCACUUGUGUCACUCUUUUGUGUAGCAAAGAGGAGAAAAGAUCCAAGCACUCAAAAAGAAUUUUCUCUCAACAAAGGUCUAUCUUGGGAUUUCAAUCUCUCAAAUGAAAAAGGACAAAUCCCUUAACACUUUGUCUCAAAAGAACCACAACAAAACUAAAGAAUUUUAAAAGACAAACAACAAAAGCUCAAAACAAAGAAGCUAAACCAAGUUGGGAAAAGAGAUGAUGACAAAACUUUUAAAGAAAGACAAGCAAGAAAAAGCACACAAAAGGACUCUAAGAUACUUACUUGACUUCUAACAAUGAAGUUUUACUCUUGCUAGAAAUUGUAAAAUCAAAAGGGUCCAAUUCCACAAUGUUGAAAUCAAUUUGCCAAAUAAAAUGAAUCCACUUUUUUUAUAAAGGGUGGUCUUGCCAAAGAUGUUUGCGCAACUUGUCCCUUUUUUUAUCCUUGUGUUUGGUUUAUGGAAAUAAUAUAUCCAUAAUUCUUAUCAUGCAUAUUUUCAUUCACUUCCAAUUGUCACAAAAAAGUUUAGGAUUCAAAUUAAAUGAACACUUGAAAUCUAUAUUUGGAACUAAAUCUACUUCCAUUUAAACAAAUUUCUAGUUAUUUUUUUUAUACCUUCAAAAUUAAAAGCAAAAUAAGGAAGCAAAAUAAGGACUCUUAGACACAUUAAGAACAUAUGACUCAAAAAAAAAAAUAGGUAAGAACAAAAAUUGGACACAAAAUAACAUUCAAAAGCGAAUUGAAAGCUAAUGAACAAAAAGAAUGCCGAAAUGUAAAAUGCAAGAAAGUAAAGGAUGAUUUUAAAGUUGCUUGAAUGUAAAGGCAAGAAUUAAAAAGUUCAAAAAAAGUAAAGUGCCAAAUCAACUCAAAGCAAAUAUGCUCAAAAAAUGAAAGCUCUGAUAACCACAUGAUGUGAGUUGAUUUUAGAUUUAUCUAUUUUAAGAGUGACACUUUGUUUAGCAAAUAUAAGGCGAGACCUAGGGAAGAUCACCACUGGACACGAACUUAACCAAGUGGUUAGUAAGUGUAAAGGUUCACUUCCAAAGGCAAAAGGAAAAACACAUUAUAUGGUGAAAAUUAUGCAUAUUGCGAAAUUGAAAGACAAAAUAUGAUGAAGGAAGCCGAAUUGAAAUUGGAAGAACAAAACAAGAACAUAAACACAAAGAACAAAGGUGUAAUGGAAAAUGGAAGAAGAGAUGAAGGAAAGAAAGCUUAUGCUAGUGGACAAGAGAAGAACACGCCACUUGGAGUGUGGAUUCUCCAAGAUAAGUGUGGAGGGCCGCCACUUGAAGAGCUCUCAACUAUCAC